UACGUAGGGGGCAAGCGUUGUCCGGAAUUAUUGGGCGUAAAGAGCGUGUAGGCGGUCCGGUAAGUCGGCUGUGAAAGUCCAGGGCUCAACCCUGGGAUGCCGGUCGAUACUGCCGGACUAGAGUUCGGAAGAGGCGAGUGGAAUUCCCGGUGUAGCGGUGAAAUGCGCAGAUAUCGGGAGGAACACCUAUGGCGAAGGCAGCUCGCUGGGACGUUACUGACGCUGGAGACGCGAAAGCGUGGGGAGCAAAC
rnacentral:rRNA from 1 species